CACCUGGAGUCCCCUUUCUUCCUCCCUGCUCCUAGUCAAAUCCCACUGAUAUAUCAGGGGACAGUGGAAAGUGGCUGUUUUAAAUUCAGGAAUUUAGAAAGUAACUGUGAAUCAAGCUGAUAGUGUUGGUUUUGAAUGCUUUUUUUCAAUAAUACAGAAGUCCUUUGCAGAGUUUUUGAGGGAAAGCUAUAGGAAGUCUCUAUCACUCCUAUUCCAUACCCCUCUGGCAAGCAGGUUUCUUAGUAACCACAAAUCAGGCAUCUAAUCGUCAGUUGUCUCCUAUGUCUGGUACUACUCUGUUUUACCCUGGAAAUGUCCCUUUUCUUCAUCUAUACUUCUCUACUGUCACCAUUGAUGGUUAUAACAAAUUACUCAUUUAUUUCUUUCAUGGGUUAGCAAUUUACAGAAAGUGAAUUGCCUUUUUUUUUUUUUUUUGAGACAGGGUUUUACUGUGUUGCCCAGGAUGGAGUGCACUGGUGUGAUCUUGGCUCACUGCAACCUCUCCCUCCUGGGCUAAAGCCAUCCUCCUACCACAGUCUCCCAAGUAGCUGGGACUACAGGUGUGCACCACCAUGCCUGGCUAAUUUUUUGUAUUUUUAGUAGAGACGGGGUUUCACCACAUUAGCCAGACUGGUCUCAAAAACUCCUGAUCUGACCACCUCGGUCUCCCAAAUUGCUGGAAUUAUAGGCGUGAGCAACUGUGCCCAGCCAUCUUUUCUUAAGGAAAACAAAACAAAAUUAUUUCACUUCCAUUUAUGUUUAUAAAAAAAAAUUAUUCUGUCUUUACUUCUCUUUUCUAAGAACAUUUACAGUGAUUCUAGAGUUUCUCACAUAGAUGGAGCCUAAAUGUUGACUUUUAUUUAGCUAUUUUCCUAUUUAAUAAUUGAAAAUGGGUUCCACUAUCAGGUUCUGGUACUCACCAACAGAAGUUUACAUUCAGCAUUUUGGAUUUUCUCAUGGAGGAAGAAGCUCAAGAGGAAUAAGGAUAUAAUUGCUGUAACAUAUUUCCCAAAGCAAUGGUGCAUGCUGCCAGGGGUUGGAUGUAGCUCUGCAGAGAAAUGUUGGCAGCACAUGGAUCUUAAGUACCUCCUCCUCAGAGAAGCACACCAGCGCCAUUUUCUUACCCUUUCCCCUUCUGUUCCUACUUCAAGUUUUUUAGAACAGGAAGUUAACUAAAGAUGCCUUUAUUCAUCUGCUUAAGCCAAGGAUACGUCUUAGGAGGACCAUGCAAUAGAACAGAAGAACCCUCUUGGAGUAGGGAUCCAACCAGAAGAGGUGUUGUACCAAGGAAAGGAAACCAAAAUAGAAGGUAAAAGGCCCAAGUAUGAUCCUUUCAAAUCCCACAUCUCCGCUAAACCUCUCCUCUACUGUCUCCCAGCCAUUAUGCUGACUGAUUCCUCAAGGCUUACCCUUCCAAACUCAUGUUUGGUUGGGGCAGUAGAAUUUUUGUAGGAACUUCUACCUCACAGUCAAGUAAAAAAUCGGUAUUUGAGUAUAAGCCCUUCAUUGCAUGUGCCACAUUUCCAAGGCAAAUAUUAAGGUAGCAAGGAAAAUGGAAACUAACUGGAAGUUUCUAACCAUGUGAAAAUUCUCACAAUAAUCAGAGCAGUAUGUCCACUGGUCUGGCUCUUGGAUCACACACUGACAAAUAUAAUUUGAAGUUCCUCUGAAAGCGGGGAUUUUUCUGAAACUAAAAAUAGAACAACCUUAGUGUCUGAAGGGCAGGGCUCUGACUGCACAGAGUAGGUGAAGCCACUGAAUGUCUCCUAUAAGACAGCCAAGCCUGGUCAACACUCCCAGAAGACACUACCUAGCAACCACUGUUCUUUCUGAAUGGGGAGCAGGCAGCUCACCAUCUCCCCCAUCAUUUGUAAGUGAAGGUUAGAUUUUGGUGGUGAGAAAUGUUAACACCAGCUUUCUAGCUGUGGUAACUACAGAAACUCUCUUUAAAUAUUCCAUUUGCUCCUCUAUUCCUGGCCCCCUUGCAGUUAGGUGAGGCCACAAUACUAACUCUAGUCAAUGAAAAAUGAGUGGAAAUUAGUAUGUGUCCUCUCUGGGGUAAGACAGUAAAAAACCUCCAUGAAAUUCUCCAUUUUUUUCUCUUCCCUUGCUCUGGUGACUAAGUUGGCUAUGCAUUCCAGAUGGCAUAGCUGCAACACAGUGGAGCAUCUGUCAGCCUAGUUCCCUGAGUGACUAUAUGGAGCAGAGUCAACACUCCUUCCUUAAAUCUGGAUGAGACAUGUAAUUCGGGGGAGAAAUAAACUUUUAUUGUCUUUAACCACUGAGAUUUGGGGUUGUUUGUGACCACAGCAUAACUUAACUAUUCUGAUUUAAUCCAGUAUUUUAGAAAUUGUUUAGAAUGCAAUUCUAUCACUUUGAAUUACAUUGGCAGGUUUCGAAUAACACCUUCAACAACUUAGAAAGCCCUCAUGGAGAAUUGUAA
rnacentral:lncRNA from 1 species